UGAACUCAAGGAAUUACACAAGUUAUUGCCUACAUUGUUUGAUGUUGCACAGAAGGGUCAAAAUGUUGAAGGUGCA
rnacentral:snoRNA from 1 species